UACAGAGGGUGCAAGCGUUAAUCGGAUUUACUGGGCGUAAAGCGUGUGUAGGUGGCUUUUUAAGUCGAUUGUGAAAUCCCCGGGCUCAACCUGGGAAUUGCAGUCGAUACUGAGAAGCUCGAGUUCGGUAGAGGGUGACGGAAUUCCCGGUGUAGCAGUGAAAUGCGUAGAGAUCGGGAGGAACAUCAGUUGCGAAGGCGGCUUUCUGGCCUGUUCUUGACGCUGAGGCGCGAAAGCUAGGGGAGCGAACGGG
rnacentral:rRNA from 1 species